rnacentral:rRNA from 10 species
ACGACUCUCGGCAACGGAUAUCUCGGCUCUCGCAUCGAUGAAGAACGCAGCGAAAUGCGAUACUUGGUGUGAAUUGCAGAAUCCCGCGAACCAUCGAGUUUUUGAACGCAAGUUGCGCCCAAAGCCAUUCGGCCGAGGGCACGUCUGCCUGGGUGUCACGCAACAU